ensembl:lncRNA
GUCAUCUAAUAAUACACAUAUUGCUCAAUUGUUUGGUUCUACAUUUUAUUUAAUCAAACAUUUAAACAUGCAUACAUUAAAUAUUAUGGUAGCACUACUUGUAUUAGAUUAAUACAAUAAUAGAUUAAUAGAUUGUGCUUGUAUUGUUUUUUUGCAAGCUACUUAAAAUAGAACAUCUGCUAAGUGAGUGUCAGUAAAACUAUACUGCGAGCUAAAACAAAAAAAUAUUUCCAAGAUUUCCAGCAAAAGGGCUGUAGACGGGUGGAUGGUGAAAAGUGGGUGUAUUCAAUUACAUUUAGGACUCAGUUGGAAAAAAAAAGGUUUUCUUUGGAGUAACAUGCAAUGACUAAUUGUACACAAUUAAACCAGGAACGUGUAUUAAAAGUAAAAAAAGCUUUGUGACAUCGUGAUAUUUAAAAAUGAGAUUCAUUCUCUCGCUAAGUAGGCCUUUUUAUAUCACUGUCUUCAUCCAGCCAUAUUAAUAUGGUGGAGAAAACGCAAGAGUUUUUCCAGGGAACGCAAACGUUUCGCAAGAGAACACCAAAGCUUAGAAUUUUUUUUUCUUCCCAUCCCGUAUUUUUUCCACCACCAUGUUUUUUAGGGGCUUCAUAAAACUUUUGAGCUCCCCGAGAAACUUUGCGUUUAGGGCCAAGGAAUAAUAAAAUAAAUCAAACCAUCUCAAGAUUAAAGUCAUUAUUAUGCAAGAUUAAACUUGUUAAAUUUCAAGAAACUCAUUAAAUUAUGAGAAAAAGUUGUGUUUCCAGAAAACUGGCUAUUACUUUAGUAUCGUUGAUGGUUGUGCCUCCUUCCAUAGAAUGAAACAAAUGAACUCUCUGUACAGCAAUUAAUGGAAAUGUCAUGAGGUUUUAGUUUAGGUCAGCAGCAAUUGAAAUUAUUGAUACAGUAUAUUCUAUUUACACACUGACAGCAGCAUUUUUUAGCGAUGUGUUACACUAAGUGAAAAUAGUGAUUCUAUUUACUCUAUGUAAAAGUAGCAGCUAUUUGCAAUAAGUGUAAAAAGUAAUUAGAUGCUGUUUAUACUUAUAAAUAGUGACAGAUACCAGAUUCUAUUUGCACCUCAGUACUGUUGUACAUUAACAGUUUAUUCUCAACAUUUUAUUUAGACUUUUUUUACUCAAAUUUUUUUGUAUUUUUUUUUUAUUUUUAUUUUUUAUUUUUUUUCUCGAAAUGCAAAUACUUCAUUCUUGGAAUUUUGAGUUUAUUCUCAACAUUUUAUUUGGACUUUUUUCCCCGAAACUUAACGUUGAAUUUUUCCUCAAAACACAAUGACUUUAUUCUCAAAAUUUUUUUUAUUUUCAACAUUUUAUUUCAACUUUUUUACUCAAUGUAUUGUUUUUUUCUCUCGAAGAUCAAAGACUUUAUUCUCGAAAUUUUGAGUUUAUUCUUAACAUUUUAUUUGGACUUUUUUCCUCGAAACAACAUUUAUUUUUUCUCGAAACGCAAAGACUUUAUUCUCGAAAUUU